GGGAGUAUAACUCAAUUGGUAGAGUGAGAAGCUUUUAACUUCUAAGUUAUUGGUUCGAUCCCAAUUGCUCCUA
rnacentral:tRNA from 1 species